UGGCUAAAAGGUUUGUUUGCUGAAAUUGCUGGAGUUGAUUCUUGCGUUAACUUGUUUUGUGACAGCCAGAGUGCAAUUUAUCUCACUAAAGAUCAGAUGUUUCAUGAGAGGACAAAGCACAUUGAGGUUAAAUAUAAUUAUGUUAGAGAUAUUGUUGCAAAGGGCAAGCUAAAGGUAUGCAAGAUUAGCACUCAUGAAAAUCCUGUUGAUAUGUUCACAAAGCCAAUUCCUGUUGCUAAGUUUGAGCUUUGCUCAAGCUCAGUUGGUAUUACUGUUUAGCCCAAGAGGCUAUUUGGCGCCGAAGGUGUUUUCUUUGUUUGUUUCAGGGUGAAGGUUCGUUUUAUGCUACAAGAAGGAAUUUGUCUCAAGGUGGAUUUGGUUGGGUUAUGAUCCAAAUUCUUGGGCUGAAGUGAAGCGGCCCGAAGCGAAGCGGCCCAUUAGCGUUUAGAGGGACUACACCAUCUAUUAGUACCAUAUUGCUAAUAGAUGAGGCUGUGAACCACCUCCCUCAUGGAAAAGAGGCAUCAUAGACUUCUAUACAGGAAGGUCACAAGUUAGGGUAUCCCCAAGUUGUAAAUCUCCAGCUCUUGUAACCUCACCCAAAUAUAGUGAAGAUUGUUGCUGGCUGGCGCCCGUGGUUUUUCCUCUCGCAUUGUGAGGGUUUUCCACGUUAAAUCUCGUAUCUCUUUGCGAUUGAUCUUGUUUACUUCAUUGUUCCUCCGCCAUAGCGUAUAACAACGCAAACACUGUAUAAAAAUUACAAAACAAUUAGGUUACACCCUUAUUAGUGACAGAAAGUCGGAGAUCAAGAUCUUUUUACCUCAAGAAGACGUUCCACAUAGAUAGAAUGAGUGGGAUCGCCUUUCAAAGUUAUUGCAACACUACAGAGCAAAUGGGAUGGCCCUUCUAGGACAGCGAUCUUAUCUUUGGCUACUCGAUCGUAUGGUGCAUCGCUGUCAUUUUAGACCACGCUGCAUUGGAAGCUCACUUUGAAGUUGAGC
rnacentral:lncRNA from 1 species